AGUGAACGCUGGCGGCAGGCCUAACACAUGCAAGUCGAACGGCAGCACAGUAAGAGCUUGCUCUUACGGGUGGCGAGUGGCGGACGGGUGCGGAAUACAUCGGAAUCUACUUUUUCGUGGGGGAUAACGUAGGGAAACUUACGCUAAUACCGCAUACGACAUACGGGUGAAAGCAGGGGAUCUUCGGACCUUGCGCGAUUGAAUGAGCCGAUGUCGGAUUAGCUAGUUGGCGGGGUAAAGGCGCACCAAGGCGACGAUCCGUAGCUGGUCUGAGAGGAUGAUCAGCCACACUGGAACUGAGACACGGUCCAGACUCCUACGGGAGGCAGCAGUGGGGAAUAUUGGACAAUGGGCGCAAGCCUGAUCCAGCCAUACCGCGUGGGUGAAGAAGGCCUUCGGGUUGUAAAGCGCUUUUGUUCGGAAAGAAAAGCAGCAGGUUAAUACACGGCUGUUCUGACGGUACCGAAAGAAUAAGCACCGGCUAACUUCGUG
rnacentral:rRNA from 1 species